rnacentral:rRNA from 1 species
UACAUAGGGGCGAGCGUUAUCCGGAAUUAUUGGGCGUAAAGGGUACGUAGGCGGGCCUGCAAGUCUGAUUUGAAAGCACACGGCUUAACCGUGUGAGGUAAUUAGAAACUACAGGUCUAGAGAGUGGUAGAGGUAAAUGGAAUUCCAAGUGGAGCGGUGAAAUGCGUAGAGAUUUGGAGGAACACCAGUGGCGAAGGCGGUUUACUGGGCCACAUCUGACGCUGAUGUACGAAAGCGUGGGGAGCAAACAGGAUUAGAUACCCGCGUAGUCCCUGAG